rnacentral:rRNA from 1 species
UACCAGCACCCCGAGUGGUCGGGACGAUUAUUGGGCCUAAAGCAUCCGUAGCCGGUUUUACAAGUCCCCCGUUAAAUCCAGCUGCUUAACAGAUGGGCUGCGGAGGAUACUAUAAGACUAGGAGGCAGGAGAGGCAAGCGGUACUCAGUGGGUAGGGGUAAAAUCCGUUGAUCCAUUGAAGACCACCAGUGGCGAAGGCGGCGAUCUGGGCAGAUACUGACGCUGAGGUGCGAAAGCGUGGGGAGCAAACAGG